rnacentral:rRNA from 1 species
CCUACGGGAGGCAGCAGUGGGGGAUAUUGCACAAUGGGGGGAACCCUGAUGCAGCGACGCCGCGUGUGGGAAGACGGUCCUCUGGAUUGUAAACCACUGUCCCCAGGGACGAAAAUGACGGUACCUGGGGAGGAAGCUCCGGCUAACUACGUGCAAGCAGCCGCGGUAAUACGUAGGGAGCGAGCGUUGUCGGGAAUUACUGGGUGUAAAGGGAGCGUAGGCGGGAAUGCAAGUUGGGUGUCAAAACUACCGGCUAAACUGGCGGUCGCACUCGAAACUGCAGCUCUUGAGUGAAGUAGAGGCAGGCGGAAUUCCGAGUGUAGCGGUGAAAUGCGUAGAUAUUAGGAGGAACACCAGUGGCGAAGGCGGACUGCUGGACUUUUACUGACGCUGAGGCUCGAAAGUGUGGGGAGCAAACAGGAUUAGAUACCCGAGUAGUC